rnacentral:rRNA from 1 species
CCUACGGGAGGCAGCAGUGAGGAAUAUUGGUCAAUGGCCGAGAGGCUGAACCAGCCAAGUCGCGUGAGGGAAGACGGCCCUACGGGUUGUAAACCUCUUUUGUCGGGGAGCAAAGCGAGGCACGUGUGACCCAUUGAGAGUACCCGAAGAAAAAGCAUCGGCUAACCCCGGGCCAGCAGCCGCGGUAAUAUGGAGGAUGCGAGCGUUAGCCGGAUUUAUUGGGUUGAAAGGGUGCGCAGGGGGAGGUGCAAGUCAGCGGUCAAAUUGCGGGGCUCAACCCCGUACUGCCGUUGAAACUGCAUACCUUGAGUGCGCGAGAGGUGUGCAGAAUGCGUGGUGUAGCGGUGAAAUGCAUAGAUA